AGCUUUCUGAAUCCAUGCCAAGAUUUCGUCAAACCAGCCUAUCAGGACUCAGAGACUUGCAAGAUAAGUGGGGCG
rfam:Schistosoma mansoni, Puerto Rico, WGS project CABG01000000 data, contig: 0235